AGUGAACGCUGGCGGCAUGCCUUACACAUGCAAGUCGAACGGCAGCACGGGUGCUUGCUCCUGGUGGCGAGUGGCGAACGGGUGAGGAAUACAUCGGAACAUGUCCUGUAGUGGGGGAUAGCCCGGCGAAAGCCGGAUUAAUACCGCAUACGAUCUACGGAUGAAAGCGGGGGACCUUCGGGCCUCGCGCUAUCGGGUUGGCCGAUGGCUGAUUAGCUAGUUGGUGGGGUAAAGGCCUACCAAGGCGACGAUCAGUAGCUGGUCUGAGAGGACGACCAGCCACACUGGAACUGAGACACGGCCCAGACUCCUACGGGAGGCAGCAGUGGGGAAUGUUGGACAAUGGGCGAAAGCCUGACCCAGCCAUGCCGCGUGGGUGAAGAAGGCCUUCGGGUUGUAAAGCCCUUUUGUUCGGAAAGAAAACCAUCGCCUUAAUACGGUCGGGUUAUGACGGUACCCAAAGAAUAAGCACCGGCUAACUCCGUG
rnacentral:rRNA from 1 species